AGAUUCUCUCUCCAAACCUCUCUCUUUCUGUAUCAACCUCUCUCUCUCUCUCUCUCUCUCUCUCUCUAAAAAUCUCUCAGUUGUAGAGCCUUUGCUCUUUCUCUCUGAUUCUUUGUUUUAUCGUUUGAGCUAUAUAUAUAUAUAUCAAUCAACAUGAGUGCAGUCGUGGUCGAGAUUGAGGGUCAACAGCUUACCAACGACCUGGACAAUCUGUCGGUCCAAGAGCAGAGGGUAAUGCAGAGUACAGGGGGGGAGGGUCAACAAGUGAGUUGUGAGAAUCAUCAUGGAAUUUGUGCCAUCUGUUUGAAUAAGAUAGUGCUUCAAGAAACCGCGCUCUUGUAAAAGGUUGCGAGCAUGCCUACUGGUUUGUCUGAAUCACAUCUCAGUAUAUCUUCUUCCAUUCUGAAAUAUAUGUGUGUAUAUAUAUAUGGCUUGAUUGAUUGGUGAUACUUUCUACAAUUCAAUUUCAAGGAAAAAUUGAUGUCUCUACUAUAAUGAUGCUUUAACUAUAUCAAUCUUUAGAGUCUGGGUGAAGAAAAAAAUUCAUUGUGCUUGAGGAUAUAAGUUUCUGUUCACAUUGGAAAUCCAUUUGAAAUGUCAAAAUCUUCAUUGAGAUUAAAGUAUGUUAACAUACUGAUGAAGGUUGAAGUGGGUUGGUUAAGGAAUAAAUGACUUAAAAUUGAGAAAUAGUGGGAAAUCUAUAGAGGAUAUUUGAAAUUUGAAUCCUGUGUUUAAAAAUAAAAUAAAAAAAUUCUCAGCUUUUUUGUGCUUAUGAAUUUGUUUGCUUCAAAUAUUCGCAUCUCAAUUUUGGAUUUGUGAAGGAUGGAUUUGGGUUAAUGUCUGGCAUUUUAGUGUCCUCCCUUCCCCCAAUAAGUAUUGGUAUUUUAGGUUCACUGUGUUUUGCCUAUAUGUUCUUGUUCUAGCUUUUCGGUCCAAAGAUAAAAAAAAUUUGUAAUAUUUUGAACCAUUCUUGAACAUCCCCACACAUAGGAUUAAGAAAUUUAUAGCUCCUACAUAAAUAAGUAGCUGCAAUGUUACUCAAAUCUAAUGAACCUCACUUUUAUAGCACAAAGGAUAAAGCCAUGUAAACUUAAUAAAUUCAUCAACAAACAACACAUAGUAUUUAAAAGUAGACACAGAAGAGGUAAAUGGCCCCCACACAUCACUAUGUAUAAGAGAAAAUGGUCUUUGUACAAUAGAAUUAGAAAGUGAAAAUGGAAGCCUAUGACUUUUUAAAACACAACAAUCAUGACAAGGCUGAGAUAUACCCUUGGUUUUAUUAAUAAAAGAAAGAAAAUGCUUCUUCAUAUGAGCAAACUUAGAAGAAGAAGGGUGACCUAGUCGUUUAUGCCAAAUGGACUCUGAAGUAGACACAGUA